UACUGAGGAUGCAAGCGUUAUCCGGAUUUAUUGGGUUUAAAGGGUGCGCAGGUUGUUUGAUAAGUCAGUGGUGAAAGUCUGUCGCUUAACGGUAGGAUUGCCAUUGAUACUGUUAGACUUGAAUAUGGAUGAUGUAGGCGGAAUGUGUAGUGUAGCGGUAAAAUGCAUAGAUAUUACACAGAACACCGAUUGCGAAGGCAGCUUACUAAUCCAUCAUUGACGCUGAGGCACGAAAGCGUGGGGAUCAAA
rnacentral:rRNA from 1 species